rnacentral:rRNA from 1 species
CCUACGGGAGGCAGCAGUGAGGAAUAUUGGUCAAUGGUCGGGAGACUGAACCAGCCAAGCCGCGUGAGGGAUGAAGGUACAGAGUAUCGUAAACCUCUUUUGUCAGGGAACAAAGGCGGGGACGUGUCCCCGGAUGAGUGUACCUGAAGAAAAAGCAUCGGCUAACUCCGUGCCAGCAGCCGCGGUAAUACGGAGGAUGCGAGCGUUAUCCGGAUUUAUUGGGUUUAAGGGGUGGGCAGGCGGUCUGUUAAGUCAGCGGGAAAAGCCCGGGGCUCAACCCCGGCGCGCCGUUGAAACUGGCAGUCUCGAGUUGGAGAGAAGUAUGCGGAAUGCGCGGUGUAGCGGUGAAAUGCAUAGAUAUCGCGCAGAACUCCGGUUGCGAAGGCAGCAUGCCGGCUCCACACUGACGCUGAGGUACGAAAGCGUGGGUAUCGAACAGGAUUAGAUACCCGGGUAGUC